CACAUCAUUGCUUACAUAACAAUGAGACACAAAAUGGCAUUCGUCCGCGGAUGUAGAUUUCUAUCCUGUAGCGAGAGAUUGCACAAAUUUGUCUUGGCCAAACUUAUGUGAUUCAUGAUAACGGUGCGAUGUCGAGGUGGAAUAUGGAUUCGAACACGACGAUCGUGCUUUGUACCUGCGGACAAUCGAGAUCGAAAUGAACGAGAUAUCUACUUACAUCAAACCGGAUGGAUUACAUUUUGGAACUGGAGAUGGAAAUGGAUUAAGGAUUUUCCGAAUGAACAAAACGUCAGCAAAAUUUUUUCGGCGGAGAUAAGGGUAGAAGAGGAGAAUAUACCGAUUACACCAACUGGCUCAAACACUUUGUGUACACCCAACUCACACCUGUGCGGUGUACUGAGCCCAAAUGAAGCUCCAGUGAGGGACUGCACUCGACCAGCCGAAAGACAAACAAAAGAAGAAAAAAUCUUCAAAAAGAAAUUUUAUUAAAUUUAGAAAAAAGAAGAAUUAAAAUUAAUA